rnacentral:other from 1 species
UAAUCCCUGCAUUGGUGUGGAUGUAGCCUUUAGAAGAACCAACACCAUUAACAAGGGAGCUUGACUCUGGGCGUCUAAUGCAGGCCUUCCUUGCGCAGGUUUUUAACCUGCCGAGGCCAAGGAAGCAUGAACCGUUCAGGCAGGCACCCACCGUGUCGAACGCGGUUCUUCUUAAAGCCAUCCAGCCAGUGCAGGGAUUUU